rnacentral:rRNA from 1 species
GAUGAACGCUAGCUACAGGCUUAACACAUGCAAGUCGAGGGGAAACGACAUCGAAAGCUUGCUUUUGAUGGGCGUCGACCGGCGCACGGGUGAGUAACGCGUAUCCAACCUGCCCACCACUUGGGGAUAACCUUGCGAAAGUAAGACUAAUACCCAAUGAUAUCCCACGAAGACAUCUGAAUGGGAUUAAAGAUUUAUCGGUGAUGGAUGGGGAUGCGUCUGAUUAGCUUGUUGGCGGGGUAACGGCCCACCAAGGCAACGAUCAGUAGGGGUUCUGAGAGGAAGGUCCCCCACAUUGGAACUGAGACACGGUCCAAACUCCUACGGGAGGCAGCAGUGAGGAAUAUUGGUAAAUGGGCGAGAGCCUGAACCAGCCAAGUAGCGUGCAGGAAGACGGCCCUAUGGGUUGUAAACUGCUUUUAUAAGGGAAUAAAGUGGGUCACGUGUGACUUUUUGCAUGUACCUUAUGAAUAAGGACCGGCUAAUUCCGU